rnacentral:rRNA from 1 species
UACGUAGGGGGCAAGCGUUGUCCGGAUUUAUUGGGCGUAAAGAGCGUGUAGGCGGCCAAGCAGGUCAGCUGUGAAAACUCGAGGCUCAACCUCGAGACGUCGGUUGAAACCGCUUGGCUAGAGUCCGGAAGAGGAGAGUGGAAUUCCCGGUGUAGCGGUGAAAUGCGCAGAUAUCAGGAGGAACACCGGUGGCGAAGGCGGGUCUCUGGGCCGAUACUGACGCUGAGGAGCGAAAGCGUGGGGAGCGAACAGG